UACUGGGCGUAAAGCGAGCGCAGACGGUUACUUAAGCAGGAUGUGAAAUCCCCGGGCUCAACCUGGGAACUGCGUUCUGAACUGGGUGACUAGAGUGUGUCAGAGGGAGGUAGAAUUCCACGUGUAGCAGUGAAAUGCGUAGAGAUGUGGAGGAAUACCGAUGGCGAAGGCAGCCUCCUGGGAUAACACUGACGUUCAUGCUCGAAAGCGUGGGUAGCAAACAGGAUUAGAUACCCUGGUAGUCCACGCCCUAAACGAUGUCAAUUAGCUGUUGGGCAACUUGAUUGCUUAGUAGCGUAGCUAACGCGUGAAAUUGACCGCCUGGGGAGUACGGUCGCAAGAUUAAAACUCAAAGGAAUUGACGGGGACCCGCACAAGCGGUGGAUGAUGUGGAUUAAUUCGAUGCAACGCGAAGAACCUUACCUGGUCUUGACAUGUACGGAAUCCUCCAGAGACGGAGGAGUGCCUUCGGGAGCCGUAACACAGGUGCUGCAUGGCUGUCGUCAGCUCGUGUCGUGA
rnacentral:rRNA from 1 species